AAGUCGUAACAAGGUUUCCGUAGGUGAACCUGCGGAAGGAUCAUUAACACGUAUCCACGUAUCAACCAAUUGCGAACUUGUUUUCACCUCCCUGAAGCAGCACAUGAGAAGGACGUGAGAAGACUACUGAGUGGGACGCAAGUCCGGUCUUCUCGCCUAUUAGUUUGAUUCGUCAGACGUACUUCUGUAGUGUUACGACAGGACAACUAUUCUGUCUCUUAUAAUCUCCAUUCAAGAUUAUAAUUGAUGGGAGCACACAUUAACAAAUUUCACCCCCUUUUUGCUAGUUGACUUUUUAUAUGUUGUUUACAUUGCAGAUUUAUCUGUCGUGCAUUCACACGUUUAUUUACUUGAACGUUAAAAAUACAACUCUUAGCAAUGGAUAUCUUGGUUCUC
rnacentral:misc_RNA from 1 species